UUCAUAAAUAAUCGCUAGUGUUCGAAAGAACACUCACAAGAUUAAUAGCUAGUUUUAGCUAUUUAUUUUGAAUAACAAUUCAAAAUAUGGUGGAAACAUAGAUUAAGUUGUUAAGGGCGCAC
rnacentral:rRNA from 1 species